CCUGGAGCAGAGAUAGAAACAGCUGAAGUGUAGACUCCAGGAGCCCUCAGAGCUUUGUCAUUCCCCAUGUGGAGGACACGGUGAAGGAUAGUAUGAGGAACCGACUACCAGUGUGCUACAGGAGCCGAAUAUUGACUGUGCCUCAGCUUUCAUAUGCCCAGAGUAGGGAUAGGACAGCAUUCCUCAGAGGGCUGUGUUAGUGUUCAAUGGAGUACUCUCUGCAACAGGCUGGUGCUUACAACACACAAUUACCCACAAGUCCUUGCUAUUGUCAAUUCCACUCAGCUAAACCCCUUUGCGAAGGUCCAGCACAGGACACAAUAGAGCCCAGUAGAUCCGUGACUUCAGCUGGAGGAGGAGGAAACAGGAGGCAGUAUCAAAGCAUAAGACCCAAUCUCCCAGCCAAGACCCAAGACCAAUCUGAGGCCAAGACCAGCCUGAGGCCACGAGGCACAGGAAGCAGGAACGGAUGGGCACCGACCCUCCCAGCCCUGUCGGGAUGAGAGCUCACCAGGCUGCCAAAAAUCCUGCUGGCAAAUGGGACUGGGAAGUUGCUCCAAUCACAAUCUGUAGUUCUCCCCACAUCCAUCCAAUGUUUACUGAGUUGUAAACACUUUUGAGGUGCUGGGCAUACAGCAAGGGACAAGGAUCUGCCCUCGUGGCUAAGAGAAACAGGAAAAGCGAGCAGUCUGGAACAUAUCAGUAGACGGGAAGCAGACGAGAAAUGCUGGACCUAGGAGAUGCUCUAGCAGGGUCACCUGUGCAAAGGCUCAGGAGCAGUUUGGAUGCUGGUGUGGCUAGCCAGAGUGGACCAAGGGAGGGGGAAGUGACAUGGUGAGUGCAGUGCCUUCUUAGCUGUCAUGACCUAGGUCCUCAACAGAGGGUUGGAAGGUAGCUCUUAGUUUCACAGACUCCUCCCACAGGAGUCCUCCCGCUGCAUCAAUACUCUAGGGCAGAAGAGUCCAGCUGCCUUAGUCCCAGUGUGAAGAGGAGGCCAACUGCUGCUCCAAGGGGGUCUCCCUUUGAAGGACUUGUUGGGGUGUACUUCAGUAGAAGCCAAAGGUAAUCUAACACUUUUUAUUUGAAGGGAUUGUGGGUAUGAAAGAAAUGCUCAAGCCGGCAUGGGGAGGGAGAACCAUUAUGGCAGUGGGUGCCAGAGGGUUCCAGGACAAGGCCCAUUGGCUGGAAAGGGCAGAGUUAAGGGAGGAGCAAAGGAAGAACAAGUGCAGGCAUGGCAGGAGAGGCCCUGAAGCCAGAUGGGAUCGUAGGGUUCCCUAGCAAUAGAAUAAAACAUGUCAAUGGCUGUCUGUCUGCCUAUCUUUUUUAGAUCAGGUCUCAGGGAGCCUAGGCUGGCCUAGAACUUACUAGAGCUGGGCCUGAACGAUCUACUUUCUCUCCUUUUUCUUUGGUCUUUCCAGACAGGGUUUCUCUGUGUAGCCCUGGCUGUCCUGGAACUCAUCCUGUAGACCAGGCUAACCUUGAACUCAGAGAUCUGCCUGUCUCGGCCUCCAAAGUGCUAGGAUCAAAGGUGUUUGCCACCACCGCUGGGCUAGACGAUCUGUUUGUCAAAAGCGAGCUGCACUUCACAAUUUUAACUCUCAAGCUACAUUUUACAUGUUCAAACAUUCAUGGGCCAAAGGAUCAGCUCUUAAAUGCUGCAUGCGUCCCCUGCCUGUACCAGGCAUUGUCACAGGGGAAUGACAGGCUCAGUGGAGAGUCACAUUCCACACACAUUCCAGGAACCUUCGAGGGCUCUGCCUCCUGUGCAGAGUCUCCUGAAAGUUCCAGGAGGGAAACUAUGACUCGUGUCAUUUCCACAGGUAGACUCCUGAGAUCCAAGUCGUUGCGGUUGCACGGGGGCUGGAGGCAGAGUGCAACCCAGACCUCUUUCCAGGCUGUGCCUCGGCUCCUUUUCUUCUUUUGAGACAGGGUCUCACUAGGUAGCCCAAGCUGGCCUAGAACCCAGAGUGCUGAAAUCGCGGACGCGCCUCGCCACAGUUAGCCAGAGUGCUCUGAUUCAUGAACUGUGCCCUCUGCUUCCCACCUCCAAACCUACAAUGCCAUCUCCCUUCUGGGUCAGAUCCACAAAGGCCAUGGCCUUCCCCUGUGCUUAAACUCCCUCCUUAGAUUGAUUUAUUCUGGGGCUGUGCCCAUUUCCUGCCAAGGCCCAGCUGUAACCUCCACAGCUAUAGCUCCCCUAUAGCUGCAAGAUGGGACACAGGUCUGGUUCUGUACUUAAGUCCCGCUCUGUUCUGGCUGUUCGGAGUGAACAGAACUGACACAGCACUCCUUAGUAUUUUAGUAAGGGAGACACAAAUGACAGGAGUCUCAGGAGAUGGGUACAGAGAACAGAGAAGGGGUACAGAGCAGGGGUGGGUGAAAGCUGUCAUUAUAAAGAGGGCAUCUGGUUCUUGUGCAAAGGACCUGAAGGAAGGAGGGACCAGGGCACUUUGGUGUGAGGAGUCCCAGUGGUAAAAGCAGAAGAAACAAAAUCCCCAGAAGCCCAGGACAGCAAGGAAGCCAGAGUGCUGGCCCUAGUAAACCAGGUAGUGUAGGGAACCAGGUGACAGGGAUCCUAGGGCUGACCAUAGACCAGCUUAAGUUCCCAGAAGUCUUGGGGGCUUGGACGGUGGGGGGCAGGAGGGAGUGUUGAACUCUUUCGGACUUGCUAAUGUCUUCAGUCUCUUCUUGCUCUCAAUCCCAUGGAGCCUACUCAGCCUAUGGGCAACCCUGGGAUACCUCAGUGAUUCUCUGCCUAGGCCUUUGAUAUCUGGUGGUCAGGACCAGUUACCACCUUGUCCCUAUAAACCCAUCCAGGGUAGACAUCCAGAAAAUAUCUCUCAAAACCCUGCUUCUUUCUACCAGAUGCCUGCUGAGACUGGAGGUGGACCAAUGGUAUAUGGCAUACGGUAGCCCCAAGGCCUGGCCCCUGUGCCUUUGGUGGGGUCCCCAGAGAACAGUCAAGUCCCCAGCAGGUGUUUGCUUAGGCCUGCGGAGGUCCGUGGGUUUGCUUUCAGAUAACGCCAGCAGGCUCCAGCCACAGCCCAACUGCAGCCUCUCCCUACGGCAGCCACUGACAGUUUGAUUAGCUGCUUGCUUAUCUUUCCACUUGUCACAUCUAUACCCAGGGCCUUCCAGUUGGACACCACCUUCUUCGUCCAGGUUUUCCCUCAGAGGCUUCUUCCCCUGACUGUCCACCAUCAUGGGACAGGAUGCACACGUGGCACUGACAGCUAUAAUGACCCUCAACCCCUGUGCCACGGGUCUUUACUUAAAUACCACCUGCUUGGAACUUGAUGCCAAACAGCAGCUCUGCCCCAAUAUACCCUUUCCUUCCGCCCAGCUUCACUUCUCCAAGGGCCUUUGUUUUGUGAGAUGUUACGCAAUUCAUUUGAGACCCAUCUCCCUCUUUAGACUGCCAGCCCCACAAGUCCUGGGCAUCUGAAGACUGCUGGUAAAUGGUAGGUACUCAGUAAAUUACUAGCCCAGGCUGUGCUGAGGAGCUGAGGAGUGGUUGCCCGCCUCUAGUCACUCUGUGUCCCCAUCAAUGGGGCAGCAGGUUGCAGAACGGUUAACUUUUAAGAAUAUGGUCUGUUCGCAGCCAGCUCUCAGAGUACUGUCCUUUUGACUGGACCCAUUUGGAAGGGAAAGAACGAACAAACGAACUAGCCCAAGGGUUUGGCCUUUCUCUCUGUGGAUCUGAGGUGCCUCCACAGUCACCUAGAGAAGCAGAGCCUCCCUGGAACUAAGAAAAACUUCAGAAAAGAGGAUCUGAAAAAAAAAACCUCAGAUAAGGCCUCUCAAGUGAUCAGGGCCAAGUGUCACUGUCAGCUGAGCUACCAUCAGCAUGACAACAGGUCUUGUUUCUCUAUGGAAAGAGUAUGGCAUGGGGCGGCUGGGCCCAGAUUUGAAUAUGACUCUGGUCUUGUUAAGGCUGAACAGGUCACACUUCCUGCAGCCUCAGCCUCAGUUUACUCAUCUAUAAAUGGGGCGGUAUGUCACAACACAGGAAGUAACAGCUGCCGCCACAAAGGUUAGGUGGCACAAAUGGGAGACUAGGCCUCCUCUGCUUGUGACCAAGUGCAGGUUGGCUCAGGAAGUCAGGAUAGGGUGCUACACUUGACUACUUACAACCUACUGGCUGACCUCACACAAGUGCAUCCAUCCAAUCAAAAUAAGCGCAGUGGCUAAGUCCGGUCUCAGAUGUCCCCAGAGGGUCCAGCUGGGAGGAGUGGGCUACAGAGAGUUCAAGGUCCCAUAUUCCACAAUCUUUUCCAGACCUUAGGGAAAUGGGAGGAGUGUCGGUCUGCUGGUACAAAUGCUACAGAAGAUGAGGCCUUGACCUCUCUAUCUGGUUUGAAAAGUAACCAUUUAUCUAUGUUUAUCAGCACUUGCUGUGCACCAAAUGUGUCAUUCUGAACCUUUACUGCCACUGCAGCCAAAGCGGUGUGCACUACAGCUAUCCGCACUGCAGAUUCUGGGAGACCGAGGCACACACAGACUAGACAAGUUGGCCAAAGUCUCAGAAUCACUCACUACCCGCCUCCUCCUCCAGGUCACACAUUCCCUGGGUUAUGCCCUAGGCCCGCGCAGGCUCCCCCAGGGCGGCAGGAAGCAACCGAACACCCGGGGGUUAGUGGAGUGGCAGGCCACCAGCGACCGGCUCUCUGAGAUCCAGGGUGGCAGCCCUCCAUCCGCGAUGCCGAAGGCCGGCUACGCUAGCAGGUGCGGGCUGCCCGGACCGGCGCGCUCCGGCGGUGCCAGUCGGGGUUCGGGAGCCCUCCCGCCCGGGGAUCCGUCCGCCCGCAGGUCCCGCCCCGUCCCGCCCGCGCGCGCGCGCAAACAAAGGCAGCGCGGUACCGUUGAGGCGCACGGAGAACUGGCGGCGUUGGCGGUCGUGCUCCACGCGGAUGGGGCCUCCCUGUUCCAGCGCGCUCGGCGGGGUAGCGUGCGCCAUCGCGCGCACCAAGACUGGGGACCGCGGGCCGCAGCGAACUGACUCUUCGGCGGCGCGGGCCGGAGAAGGGGGCGGGGCCGGAAAUCAGCUGUGAGUCACGUGCACGCGCGCACGGUCUGUUUGGAUACAUUCCUGGAGUCUCUUAAAGAGACCGCGCUGCGCGUUUCGCUCGCGGCUUCAACAAUGAUGUGCUGGCCCAUCAAGGGCACCGAUUGUCUUCCUGAAUGCUCCAGAAUGAUCAUUAGGACCCACACGGACCCAUCUGAAAAGCACGCAAUGACCUGUGGGGCAAUUCUGAACUUCCCCGGGACAGCCAUCGAAUUUUAGGCAUUGGCCUCACUGCAAGCCUGAGGCAUAGAUAUGUCAGACCUCUUUUACGCAAGCAUUUGUAAACAAAAGAAGGUGGAGGUGGGUCAUUAUAUGCAAAGUGACUGAGAGGGAUCCUGCAAUCAGAGAGGGCUGUGAGCUCAGCUGAGUCAGGCCUGGAGGCCAUGGUGAACUGGGAAGAUAAAACCUGUGAGUCUCAGGUGACUUCACUUCCAAAGAAUGUCUGUACGCCCUAUAGAAAUCCCUUCUGGAAGCCAGGGAUCCUGCUGGUCUGUAAUCCUAGGACUUGGGAGGGGAAUCUCAGCUACAUCCUCAUAUGAAACCCUGCCCACCCAAACCAAAUCCACAAAGUCCUUUCUGGAAAACAGAAGAACAAUGUGAGCGAUGAAAACAUUUGCUGGAGGCACUGAGUCACUCGGUGCUGGAAGCUUCCCUGUGGCUGUGCCUGCUUAAGUCUCACAAGGACCAGAGGAUGGGCCAGCCAGUGGAUCUGACUUGUUUGGGUGCUCUUGAAUCCACUGAGCAUCUCCUGAGGAGCAGGCACUGUUGUGGGGACACAAAUGAGCAAAGCAGAUGACGUUCCCUGUGCCUUUGGUAUUGCCCCACGGGAAUGCACUUGACGGAUGGAGUUAAUGCUCCUAGAUCCACCUGCUUCUGGGAUCAUGUGUUCCUGGAGGCAAACUGGCUUCAGAUAGGGUGGCCAUGACAGCUUCAGCUGAGAUGGAGUCUUUUUAAAGAGGGCUCAAAAGAAGAAAGGGGUGAGCGAGUUGGGUGGUUAGAAGGAGAGGGGAGAGCAGUCCAGCAGAAAGAAGAGCUAAAGCAAAGUUGAAGAGGAAGCUGCUGACUGCCAUGGGGUCAUCUGGGCAAGGGUCUCUCACACUAGGUGGGGAGGGAGUAGAGGGGGAACGGGAAGAGACCUCUGUGGGGUUUAUGCAUAAUUUCAAGCACAUAUGUAGAUAGAAUAGUAAAGGGAUACAUAUGUAAGAGCUCCUUUGAGCAGGCAUUCCACGAGACACUGAACCACCACCACCAGGCCUCCGUCUAAAACAAUGUCCACCUGACGUUUCUUUCAACCCCUCCCCCACCUACCUGACCAGUUUUUGGUCCCUGUGCUUUUGCCUUUGCCGCAGAGUGUCACACACCAGGACCCUUGCCACCUGUGGCCUUUUGCUCCCCACCCCCACCCCAUUCUGAGGCCCCUGCGGUUGGCUGGUCCACUGGGUCACUCGGCACCGGUCCCUUCACUGCUACAUAAGAACCGGGAAGUGAUGCUUAGUACUAAGUGAUGCUCAGUACUCCUCUGCCAACUGCACAGGGGUGGGCCAGAAGUAAACAGGGAUUAGGGACCCUGCACUGGUCCCAAGGACGGUGACAACAUGGCUGUUGUUCCUGGUCCUAAGCUCUGCCCCCAGAUCCCCAUGACUAGGAGGUGUCCAUGGAGCUACCUGAACAUUGUGGACACUUUGACCCUUUGUUCCACUGCAGCCAUCCAGAGAAGAAGUGAAGACAUUCUAAAGGCACUGUUGUGUCUCUCCAAAAGACAGACUGUUGAAACAAUAGACCCCGAGGAAGUAGGAAUUUCCCCAGGAAUUUCCUGCCGGGAGAAGGAAAAGGCUCGAGCCACAGGGAACUUGCCAGCUGUCAGAACACUGCAGAUGGAGACUGAAGCCCAGACAAUGACGGUCUACAGUAAGCAGGGAAGCAGGACCACACCUUGUCUGGCACUGCUUGGAUGCGCUCAUCCUUGGCCCUCAAUUUAAACUUUGAUCCCACUAAGAUCCUGAAGGCUUAAGGGUUUGCUGGAGCUCUUUAUCACGGUGCCACAUUGAAUAAAUCCUUUUUUUUCCUCCUCUGAUUUGUACUUUUAA